ACCGUACCCGGUACGUCCGUAGGGUAGUAAACGCUGGCGGGUCGUUGGUGGUUGGGGUCCUUUGAGGGCGCCCAGUGCCGGAGAGAAGUUGUUAAGCCUGCUGCUUGGGGAGUACGUCCGCAAGGAUGAAACUUAAAGGAAUUGGCGGGGGAGCACCGCAACGGGAGGAGCGUGCGGUUCAAUUGGAUUCAACGCCGGACAACUCACCAGGAGCGACGGUUACAUGAAGGCCAGGCUGAUGACCUUGCCUGAUUUUCCG
rnacentral:rRNA from 1 species